GGAGUUACGACUGCAGCGGUCAGACUCUGCUUGCAAAAGAUGUUUCUCAUCAGAAAUCAUCUGAAGCUGAGCAACUGGAACAUUCUCUCUUUGGGCCUCAUCCAGUAUGGUGGCAGUCCAUAUCAUUUUCAACACUCAACUGUGCUCUUACACAAGUGGCCUCAUCCUGAUGCUUCUUUCAUUACACUGAACAUCAUUGUCUGAACAUCAGCUAUGCAUGUGAGCUGGGUGCCACGCUGGAGUUCAUGCAUAGCGAGCUUGGCACGCCCUCAUGCAACGCAUCUACCGGAGCCCGUGUAUUGGCGGAACCGCUCUGGCGCUUGAUCAGUCAGAGCCAAGUGAGCGAGCUAACUAAUCUGAGCAUACUCGGCUCAUCAGGAAAGGGGGGCUUAAAGACACAGGAGCUCUAACAGAGCGUUUCAGACAGAGGAUGCAUUUUCCUCAUAUCUCUGACAAAAAAGACCAACACUGAGAAAAAACAGAGGAAGGAGCGAUGGGCUGUGAAUUUGACAGCUCUCUCACUCAUCACGGAUUUAACUCUAAAAGGAGAGAUCGGUAACAUUAGCAGUGUGAUAUCAGUAAUGUUAGUGUUCAGGCAUUAUGGCAUGGACAUAUGCACAUUGAGUUAUCUGUGUCCUGUUUCCUGUGUCCACAUAUGUCCACAUAAAAUGUCCACAGCUUGGCUCUAUUCCAGCUCCUAGCACAUCUGAGUCUGGUAUUAAUUGUUUGACAGCUGAUCAUUAUCUGGCUCAGGUAUGUUAGGAGUGCUGCUGGGGUUCAGACCUCUGUAUUACUCUGUUGGUCAGGUUUUUUUAGUCCAUAUGAAUUUGUCUUAAAAUUGUUUCCUAUCAUUUAUAAUUGUUCAUAGUACUAUAUUGCUAAUAACUUUAGCAUAACCUAUAUACAGAGUAACAGCAGACCUUAAAAUCAGAUUCAUUGGUUUGUGGAACUGUGUAUUUAUUGCAGUAUAUUUCAAAUUUCUACACAAAGUCAGUUAACAUGUUUUUCCCCGUCUGUAGAACAUAUCAAGUGUGAUGACGCUAUUGUACUAUGCACAUAAACAGUUGUAAAAACAAUAAACAAUAACUGUAAUCUAUAUUUUUUGAAAGCUAUGUGGGUGCUUUUUCAUGGGCUAUGCUUUGGAUUGCAGAGUAAAUUAUUUGAAUGUAGAAUUGUUCUGAAUUUUUAACAGAUUUACAAGGAAAUACAAAAAUGUAAUAUUCCAUACCCCUUUUCCAUACCCCUUUAAAUUACAUUACUGUAAUCUAGGCAUACUUAUUAUUGUUCUUUGUUCUCCUUCUUAUUAUUAUUUUAAAAGUUGAUACAAUGAUACCUUCAUUAAGAAAUGAAGCAACUGUCAAAUAGUAAUUGUAAAAACAUGUAUUUUUAACACAUUUUUAAAACAUUAAGGGUUGAUUACUAUAAAAAGGUAUUUAAAAGAACUGAAUUAGAUUUUUAAAUUUUGCAGCAACGCUGUAUUACAUAAUAGUUGCAUAAGAGUCUUCCCUCAUACUACCACCAUGUUGAAGGCAUAGUCUGAACUCACAAAUAGAUUUUCACUGAUUCCAUAAGCUUUUCUAAUGCAACUGAAACAUUUAAAGGCGAAUUCCACAUUUUUAUGCAUUUCAUUCUGUCCUUGUGAUGUAAACAAAGUCAUUUAGUGGUUUCAUAUAAAAUGGCUAAUUGUAGAGAAAGUUACAGACUGGGAACCAUGUGCCUAUAAUUAUUAUUAUUAUUACUUUUGUUGUUAAAUUUGUUCUGAAAUGUAUAAAUGUAGUAUGUACUAAUGUAUGUAAUGUUUGUAUGUUUAUAGAAUAAUAUACAAUAUAUAUAUAUUAAAAUAAGUGAUACCAUUAUGCAUCCUACAUAGAACAAAAAAAUAAAUAAUGAAAAAAAUGUAAUCACAUAAUGUUACGUUUAAAAAUUCCCUUAAAAAUAUUUAAAAGUAAAAGAUUUAUUUAAAAAAAAUGUAGGUAAAAUUUAAAAAUACGUAUUAUGCAUCCUACAUCUUGAGACAUCUUGGGAUGUUAUUAUUGCCAAGACAUCUUAAGAUCCGUGUCUAUAAACAUGUCUUAAAGACAUGUCUUCAUUUCUUAAGACAUGCCUCAAGAUGUCCUAAGACGUCUUCAUAAUGUGU